rnacentral:rRNA from 1 species
UACGGAGGGUGCAAGCGUUAUCCGGAUUCACUGGGUUUAAAGGGUGCGUAGGUGGGCAGGUAAGUCAGUGGUGAAAUCUCCGGGCUUAACCCGGAAACUGCCAUUGAUACUAUCUGUCUUGAAUACCGUGGAGGUGAGUGGAAUAUGUCAUGUAGCGGUGAAAUGCUUAGAUAUGACAUAGAACACCAAUUGCGAAGGCAGCUCACUACGCGAAUAUUGACACUGAGGCACGAAAGCGUGGGGAUCAAACAGG